rnacentral:rRNA from 1 species
CCAGACUCCUACGGGAGGCAGCAGUGGGGGAUAUUGCACAAUGGGGGAAACCCUGAUGCAGCGACGCCGCGUGUGGGAAGACGGUCCUCUGGAUUGUAAACCACUGUCCCCAGGGACGAAGAUGACGGUACCUGGGGAGGAAGCUCCGGCUAACUACGUGCCAGCAGCCGCGGUAAUACGUAGGGAGCGAGCGUUGUCCGGAAUUACUGGGUGUAAAGGGAGCGUAGGCGGGAAUGCAAGUUGGAAGUGAAAGGUAUGGGCUCAACCCCUGAACUGCUUUCAAAACUGUAUUUCUUGAGUGAAGUAGAGGCAGGCGGAAUUCCUAGUGUAGCGGUGAAAUGCGUAGAUAUUAGGAGGAACACCAGUGGCGAAGGCGGCCUGCUGGACGAUGACUGACGUUGAGGCUCGAAAGCGUGGGGAGCAAACAGGAUUAGAUACCCGUGUAAA